ensembl:lncRNA
GUUCUUCCCUGGCUCUGUAGGGGCCGUGGUGAUGUGCAGCUUGCUUUAUAUGUGCUUACCUGGACUAUGUAUCUUUGGUGAACUUUUUGUAAAAUAUAUUAUUUUGAUGGAUGAUCCCUUUGUCUUAAGGAUAUGUAUGACUGUGUUCGACUUCUAACAAGUAGAAGAGUUCUCAGAGCUUUCUGAGAAUCUGCUUCCUGGGUUAUAAUCCUUGGUUUAACUCAAAUAAAAUCCUCCUCUUUUUCUUCUUAACUUGAUAGUUAACUGAAUGUUCAUCCGCAGUUCUUAUCCCCAAAUUGCCUUCUGCUCUGCUAAGGAGAGAGAUGUGGAAGAGACCUGCUGUCCUGUAACCUGAGCUUGGCCAUUCAUUUAACCUUUCCCGGUACAACCCUCGGUUGCAGUGUCCAGAUGGGCGGCGGGUGAGGUAGACGAUGGCAAUGAAGCCGUGGCAGAAGGGAGAACUCAGUGAUGAGCAAGCCUGAAUCCAAGCAGUAAAAGUCGAUCUAGACUCCAGCGACGUAAAAGGCUUGACUUUGUGAGCACACCAAAAAUGUGGCCAUGUGGGAGAAAAAGCAACAUACAGGUGACCUCUGGAUCGAGAUUAUUCUUGGAAGCCUGACUGUAAGGUGGACUGUCAUCUAUGCCUCAACCUUCAAGGAUAUGCUGCAAUUAAAAGAAAAAUAUGAAGAAAAC